rnacentral:rRNA from 1 species
GAUUAACGCUGGCGGCGUGCCUAACACAUGCAAGUCGAGCGGCAGCGAGUUUUACACUGAAUUCUGGAAGCUUCUAGUUGAAAGAGAAGAUUUAUUCAAGAAUUUUGUGUAAAAUGUCGGCGAGCGGCGGACGGCUGAGUAACGCGUGGGAACGUACCCCAAAGUGAGGGAUCACGCAUCGAAAGGUGUGCUAAUACCGCAUAUGGUCUUCGGAUUAAAGCCUUCGGGCGCUUUGGGAACGGCCUGCGUAAGAUUAGAUAGUUGGUGGGGUAAUGGCCUACCAAGUCGACGAUCUUUAACUGGUUUGAGAGGAUGAUCAGUCAGACUGGAACUGAGACACGGUCCAGACUCCUACGGGAGGCAGCAGUGAGGAAUCUUCCACAAUGGGCGAAAGCCUGAUGGAGCAACGCCGCGUGCAGGAUGAAGGCCUUCGGGUUGUAAACUGCUUUUAUAAGUGAGGAUUAUGACAGUAACUUAUGAAUAAGGAUCGGCUAACUACGUG